UAGCCUAGUGGUUAAGGCUAUGGAUUGCCAAUCCGGAGACGGCGGGUUCGAUUCGCGU
rnacentral:tRNA from 1 species